GACUAAAAAUAAGGCGUAUAGGUACAGUUUUCAAUUUGUUAGCGGGCAUGACAUAAAACAGCGAAUCAAAGAAUUCAACUUUAUUUAUAACUAAUAUAGGACAAUGCUGUUGAUUAAAAAAUACUCCAUUCCAGGACCUUUUGUUUUCCAAAUAAUUAAUAUUACCAAUAAUUGAUAAGUUCCAGUUCGACGGGUUCAAACAGAAAGAUUUGAAA
rnacentral:lncRNA from 1 species